CCAGUUAUCCAUACACGCCUCCUCCUCCAGCCCCACGCCCCGCCACCGCCGGCCCUCCGCCCUCGACGCCUCCUCCUCCCGCCCCACGCCCAGCCACCGCUGGGGAGCGGGUGCCGCCACUGCGCCCCGCUGGCCCUCCUCUCCCCCCGCCAUUGUCGGGGAGCGGGCACCACGCCACCGCUGGGGAGCGGGUGCCGCCGGUCUGCUGCUGCUUCCACCCGAUCCUUCCUCCUCUUUGUAUACGCCAAGAAUUCGAUUACCAUGGAUCAACACGUUCGUGCGGCUGUUUAUUCACUCAAGGGGCAGACAGAGCAGGGCGGAGUGGCUCUCGCUCCAGGGGCGGUUUUCGCGGCGAGGUGGCCAGUGCCAAGGAGAGCGAGCAGCAGAGCGUCCUAGAGACGUACAAUCCUGUCAGCAGGGGGAUCUAUGACGUCCUCAUUGUUCUUGGUGCUUCUCUGGCGCUCAGAUUGGUGUCGCGUGCUGUGCUACAUCGUUGGCCAGAAAAACAAGUCUGGUCCAUCCGGAGAGCAGCAUAAGUUAUUGGUCUAAACUGUUUGAGAUUCAGCAAAGGGAUAGCUGCAUACUGGCUGGUACAGAACAUUUGGGGACACUUGCAAUCCCUUAUCGGUACUUCGUUUUCGUUUGACGCAGCCAUAUUCGAAAAUAUAAUUGUUAUGUCCUGUUGUGUCAUGGUGGUUUGUGUUUAACCAGAAUUCAGAAUUAACUCAAGUUGACAAGUGCGAGUGCCUGCGAUAUUCUCAGGUUGCAGCUUCUCGAAUGCUGAAUGUUUAGUCUCUUCAGACCCUAGAUUUCCACCACUUGGACAGAGUCGAGCCAGCAUCCGUCACUCACGACAAUGACGGCCACCUCGGUCCUCUCCCCCUCCUCUUUUGGCUGCUGGUAAUUUUGCCGUUGCUUCCUGGCUUCAAUUACCAGUUUAAAUAUGCAAACAUUCACCUCCUUGUGCAAUUCAGGUCCGUUUAAAUUAUACUGCCAUGGUUUAAAAUCUGGAUAAAAUUACUAUAGCAGUACUGUGAUUCGCUCUGUGACUUCUCUUUCGCACUUGGAACAACAGAAUAGAAAUUGGUUGCUGAGGUAAGGUAAUCAAGAAAAAUCCCCAUUGUUUUUUUUUCUGAUUGUGGUUAUAGUCUAUUUUAAGCCCACAUAAUUUUCUGUUGUUGUGAAUUGUAUUCACCUGCAUGUAGAAAUGGUAAGAUAAAAUUGUUUCACAUUUGAGUAUAUAAUAAAGUUCAGGAUAUUGGGAAGCUUUCUCACAUCAUGCAAGGAUAUAAAACCUAGAAAACUUCAAACAAUAGUGAAGCCAUCACACAACGUCUCCUAGGAGCAUCUCAAAUGUCCUUCGAUAAACUUAAUAUAAGCAGGUUAACUGGAGUGAAUUUUCUUCUCUUUGCUUUGCAUCACUUUCAUAAAGUCUUCGGUACCCUAAAUCUUUACAAGGAAGCUAGGCCCGUGUAUUUUUGUAAUGAUAUUUAGUUCUAUAGGCAACCUGCUUGCAUAGUAUAUUAUAACCUCUUUUUAACUUGCCUUUAAUAAGAGACAUGAUGGUACACAAAUUAGUUUUAGGAUGAUACUACUAAGAUGAAUCUUACCAGAUGUACCAUGGAAACAAAUAAUCAUUCACGAGAGUGCACCAAGAACAAUUGUUUUGGACUUUUAUGAAGUUAAAUUCUGUGACUUUGUACAUAAAUGCUUAGGUACAUUACAACAUAUAAUUUCAUAAGUACAAUUUUUAAACGUCAAGUAGAAAUUCAUUUGUACUUUUUUGCCUUUUAUGAUUGAAUAUUUUUCUAUUUAUACAUGAAUUUUCACGUGCAAGCUUACUAAUUUGCUUAAGUUCAGCAAGUGUUGGUCGACAGGCUAUGUUCUGACGUUGUAUGUUCAUGAUUUAUAAUCAUGAAAGAUUAGAUGAAGCAACUUGAGGCAAGCUUAAAAUCAUAUCUAAUAGAUAUCUUUUCUUGUUACAUCCGUAGCAAGAUUUUCAAGUUGUUAGCCAUACAAAAAGUAAGCUAGAUUUUCAAGCUACUUGUGUGUAGUACUCUGGUUUUCAGGUUUAAUUCUUCUUACAUGUAUCUGUUGUUGUAUUUAAAAAAGCAUCCAGAUCAAUGACUUCAUAUGAUAUUUUCCUGCAUUUUUGUUUAUGUACAAAAAGGGAAAUUUUCCUACAACUUCAACCACGUAAUCCGUAGUUUGUUGGUUUGUUUCUAAUAAUAUGCGUGAUCUUUUUCCUUUGAAGUUCGAACCUUUUGAUUUUAGGGAUGUCAUUUAUAAAGAUAUGGGAGAUAUUUUCAGUUCUUUGGCACUUCUUGCUUCUGGAAACUACGCACAGGUGGUGACGAGCAGAUGAAUGGUGACAGUAAGAAGAGGAGGAUAUGGGGACAUUCGACGGUGGCGGCGGCCGAUAUAAUCGUGCCUAUCAUCCUCAAGUUCUCCACCUAGAAGGGCGCCGUUAUUAGCAGUGGGAGCAGAGCAGUCGGCGGGUUCCUGGCUUACCUGCCUCACAACAAGGCGGGCACGGCUGGGCUAGGCAGCCUGGACAUCCAGGAUUCACAAGUCGUGGUCCACUCCUGCUCGGAACGCUACAUGUUGGCAUUAUUAUAAACUCCCCCCUCCCUCACACACACACACACACACACACACACACAAGACAACCCUCCAACAAAUCAGUGGGUCGAUCUUGUGUGAAAACUCCUACAGGGAUAAUACAAAUUUCUGGUUAUUGUGACAGCUAAAGGUUUACACUGGUCAUUACGAAAAUAUUGUCUGCUCGAGUUGGUGAAAUGAAGGUUGUGGAUUAAGUGGAAUUGUAAUGUACACAUUAUUGGUUGCACCUAUAACAUUUUUGGUAAAUUGAUAUUACAACGAGCAACAAUUUUCAGAGCAAAGAAUAUUAUAUGUUCUAGCAAUGGUUUACAAAUCCCUUUUUGUAGAGGAUACUUUGCUUUAUUCAAUGCAGGAAAUAUUUUAGUCCUUACUAGCUCCAUACUGUUGUAAGCACACUGUUCUUUUUGUUCAGUCCAAAGGUUGGUGAACCACAUGUUAAACUUCCAUUGGAAGCCGUAUUACAAAUACCUAUCGUGCAACCAGUUGUUGUACUUUCUUCUUCACUAAUAUUAUUUUAUGAAUUUUUCUAAACCUGGAAGAAGCUUCCGCUAUGAUGUUGUUUGAACCUGAAAAAAGCUUGUACUGCAUUGAUAACUGAACCUGAAAAUUGCUGCAUCCUAUAUACAUUGGUAGAGUAAAAAAUAACUUGAUUUAUGUAGGACUUGUUUUGGAUUAAGUGGAUAGGUGAUGCACUAUUCUUGAUUGCAGCUGGUGCUUUUUUGGUAAUUUGAUAACACCACGAGCAGCAAUCGAGUUUGAAAGCCAGAAAACAUACAAAACAUGUAAAUGGGAGUACUGCCAGUUUAGGAGCCAAGUAACCAUUACUAGAGUAAUCAAUCUGAGAAAUGAUUAGUUGAGGAAAUUGAGUAUUAUUGUACUUCUCGACAAUGAAAUGGUCUUUUUUUUG